AGUAGAGGAACUCUGGCUAAUAUCGCCGCGUCGUGCGGCAACGCCUGAGUGACCAACAUCCUGUUGG
rnacentral:sRNA from 1 species